GUCUGCCGGCUGUGAGACGAGUCAGAAACCGUUGAUGUAGCGAAGGACAUGCGAAAGGUCCGGCGUAGAGGGUAAGACCCCCGUAGCUGAAACAUCAGCGGCUUGUUUGAGAGACACCCAAGUAGCACGGGGCCCGAGAAAUCCCGUGUGAAUCUGGCGGGACCACCCGCUAAGCCUAAAUAUUCCCUGGUGCGUAGCGGAUAGUACCGUGAGGGAAUGGUGGUACCGCGGGAGCGGAGUGAAAUAGUACCUGAAACCGUGUGCCUACAAGCCGUGGGAGCGUCGCGCAUCGAGCUUGCUCGGUGCGUCGUGACUGCGUGCCUUUUGAAGAGAGCCUGCGAGUUAGCGGUUGUAGCGAGGUUAACCCGUGUGGGGAAGCCGUAGCGAAAGCGAGUCCGAACAGGGCGUUUGAGUUGCACGCUCUAGACCCGAAGCGGAGUGAUCUAGCCAUGGGCAGGUUGAAGCGGAGGUAAGAUCGUGGAGGACCGAACCCACCAGGGUUGAAAACCUGGGGGAUGACCUGUGGUUAGGGGUGAAAGGCCAAUCAAACUCCGUGAUAGCUGGUUCUCCCCGAAAUGCAUUUAGGUGCAGCGUCGUGUGUUUCUUGCCCCGGAGGUAGAGCACUGGAUAGGCGAUGGGCCCUACCGGGUUACUGACCUUAGCCAAACUCCGAAUGCCGGUAAGUGAGAGCGCGGCAGUGAGACUGUGGGGGAUAAGCUCCAUGGUCGAGAGGGAAACAGCCCAGAGCAUCGACUAAGGCCCCUAAGCGUACGCUAAGUGGGAAAGGAUGUGGAGUCGCAGAGACAACCAGGAGGUUGGCUUAGAAGCAGCCACCCUUGAAAGAGGCGUAAUAGCUCACUGGUCAAGUGAUUCCGCGCCGACAAUGUAGCGGGGCUCAAGCGUACCGCCGAAGUCGUGUCAUUCAUAACACAUAUCCUUAACGGGAGUAUGGAUGGGUAGGGGAGCGUCGUGUGCCGGGUGAAGCAGCCGCGGAAGCGAGUUGUGGACGGUUCACGAGUGAGAAUGCAGGCAUGAGUAGCGAUACACACGUGAGAACGUGUGCGCCGAUUGACUAAGGGUUCCUGGGUCAAGCUGAUCUGCCCAGGGUAAGUCGGGACCUAAGGCGAGGCCGACAGGCGUAGUCGAUGGACAACCGGUUGAUAUUCCGGUACCCGCUUUGAAACGCCCAGUACUGAAUCAGCGAUGCUAAGUCCGUGAAGCCGGCCCGAUCUCUUCGGAGUUGAGGGUAGUGGUGGAGCCGAUGAACCAGACUUGUAGUAGGUAAGCGAUGGGGUGACGCAGGAAGGUAGUCCAGCCCGGGCGGUGGUUGUCCCGGGGUAAGGGUGUAGGACGUUGGUAGGCAAAUCCGCGCAACAUGUGUCUGAGACCUGAUGCCGAGCCGAUUGUGGUGAGUGGAUGAUCCUAUGCUGUCGAGAAAAGCCUCUAGCGAGUUUCAUGGCGGCCCGUACCCUAAACCGACUCAGGUGGUCAGGUAGAGAAUACCGAGGCGUUCGGGUGAACUAUGGUUAAGGAACUCGGCAAAAUGCCCCCGUAACUCGGGAGAAGGGGGGCCAUCACUGGUGAUCCGAUUUACUCGGUGAGCUGGGGUGGCCGCAGAGACCAGCGAGAAGCGACUGUUUACUAAAAACACAGGUCCGUGCGAAGCCGUAAGGCGAUGUAUACGGACUGACGCCUGCCCGGUGCUGGAACGUUAAGGGGACCGGUUAGCUGCCUUUCGGGGUGGCGAAGCUGAGAACUUAAGCGCCAGUAAACGGCGGUGGUAAUAUAACCAUCCUAAGGUAGCGAAAUUCCUUGUCGGGUAAGUUCCGACCUGCACGAAUGGCGUAACGACUUCUCGACUGUCUCAACCAUAGGCCCGGUGAAAUUGCACUACGAGUAAAGAUGCUCGUUUCGCGCAGCAGGACGGAAAGACCCCGGGACCUUUACUAUAGUUUGAUAUUGGUGUUCGGUUCGGCUUGUGUAG
rnacentral:rRNA from 1 species